GAUGAACGCUGGCGGCGUGCCUAAUACAUGCAAGUCGAGCGAACGGACGAGAAGCUUGCUUCUCUGAUGUUAGCGGCGGACGGGUGAGUAACACGUGGAUAACCUACCUAUAAGACUGGGAUAACUUCGGGAAACCGGAGCUAAUACCGGAUAAUAUUUUGAACCGCAUGGUUCAAAAGUGAAAGACGGUUUUGCUGUCACUUAUAGAUGGAUCCGCGCUGCAUUAGCUAGUUGGUAAGGUAACGGCUUACCAAGGCAACGAUGCAUAGCCGACCUGAGAGGGUGAUCGGCCACACUGGAACUGAGACACGGUCCAGACUCCGACGGGAGGCAGCAGUAGGGAAUCUUCCGCAAUGGGCGAAAGCCUGACGGAGCAACGCCGCGUGAGUGAUGAAGGUCUUCGGAUCGUAAAACUCUGUUAUUAGGGAAGAACAUAUGUGUAAGUAACUGUGCACGUCUUGACGGUACCUAAUCAGAAAGCCACGGCUAACUACGUG
rnacentral:rRNA from 1 species